GAUGAACGCUGGCGGCGUGCCUAAUACAUGCAAGUCGAGCGAAUGGAUUAAGAGCUUGCUCUUAUGAAGUUAGCGGCGGACGGGUGAGUAACACGUGGGUAACCUGCCCAUAAGACUGGGAUAAAUCCGGGAAACCGGGGCUAAUACCGGAUAAUAUUUUGAACUGCAUGGUUCAAAAUUGAAAGGCGGCUUCGGGUGGCACUUAUUGAUGGACCCGCGUCGCAUUAGGUAGUUGGUGAGGUAACGGCUCACCAAGGCAACGAUGCGUAGCCGACCUGAGAGGGUGAUCGGCCACACUGGGACUGAGACACGGCCCAGACUCCUACGGGAGGCAGCAGUAGGGAAUCUUCCGCAAUGGACGAAAGUCUGACGGAGCAACGCCGCGUGAGUGAUGAAGGCUUUCGGGUCGUAAAACUCUGUUGUUAGGGAAGAACAAGUGCUAGUUGAAUAAGCUGGCACCUUGACGGUACCUAACCAGAAAGCCACGGCUAACUACGUGCCAGCAGCCGCCGUAA
rnacentral:rRNA from 1 species